CAGCGAGACGGUAACGUUAAGCGAAUCUCAAAAAAGCAUUCUCAGUUCGGAUUGUGGGCUGAAACCCGCCCACAUGAAGUCGGAGUUGCUAGUAAUCCCGAAUCAGAAUGUCGGGGUGAAUGCGUUCCCGGGUCUUGUACACACCGCCCGUCACGCCAUAGGAGUUGGGGGUAUCCGAAGUCGGUGAGCUAACCGCAAGGGGGCAGCCGCCUAAGGUAAAGCCAAUGACUGGGGUGAAGUCGUAACAAGGUAGC
rnacentral:rRNA from 1 species